rnacentral:lncRNA from 1 species
UCUUUUGGUCUAUCUACAUUCCAGGAAAUUCAUACGCUUCAUAGACAGAGCAAAAAGUGGAGUCUUGGUCAGAGCAAGCCACCCUAUUAUUCUAUUAUCAGACAUAAUUCGGAUAAGCUCAUCCGAAACUAUAGCUAGAAGGGCCUCAUUUCGUUUCGUUCCCGUUCUUCAUUUCCUUCUUCUCGAAUCCAAGGGGGACAUCUCAUAUUUAGAAUCUUUCUGCGGUGUGCUCCGUUUACUAUUCUUUCGUACUCUCUUAUCUUUACCACGCGAUAGGUCAGCGAAGCGUGAGCGGGCGCGGAGAAGGAAAGGCCAAGCACUUCGGCCUAACGGGAAUGAGCAACGACGAAAUGACAAGAUGAGGUGCCCCGGGCACCCCCAUUUAGAAAGAAGGGUCGAAGGUUUUGGGCCUGUAGCUUUCCCCGUCCCCCCUUCGUCGGGUGGUGCUUGUGUGGGGGGUGUGCCGCCAGAAAUCGGGCUUGAAGCUCUCGCCUUACCAACGAGCCGACAGCUGAGGGCUGUUGGUGACGACUACUACCAAAAAGCUCCAAUGAAGAUGAAUAUUUCACAUGGAGGAGUGUGCAUCUGUAUGUUGGGUGUUCUUCUGUCGUGCGACCCGGCGGCUUAUGUGCGACCUGUGGCCCACGCCUCCUAUUUGUUCAGGGCGGGCGGCGUGAACUCUGAUUCGAUCCGGGUAUUCAAUCCCGCCGCUGAGAUGCUCAGUUGACUCCUUAACCUUGAUAGGAAGAUGGCUUAUUCAAUAAUUCGUGCAUAAGGUUAAGGAACUUUGGAUGAACUAAUGCGAAUGGGUGUAAGCCUCGAUGCUCGGAAACACCCAGUGCUGACCACACUGAGAGACACGAAAGCGCAGGUAACGCCAGUUGGCGAAGUGGCGUUAAGCAUCCCUAGCGGUACGAAAAGAGAGGUCGUGAUCAUAUCAUCAAUGUCCGUACCGCUCCUCGUGGAGUAGAUCCCGCAUCCAACCAAGUCUUUGACCAGGGAACGGGAGAAUUCUCAUUACCGCUGGCAGGCCAGCCGGGCCGUGAGCGCGGUGGGAACGGGCUUCCCAAAAAGCCAGCCCGGGCCGGGGUCAGCAUAGAAUGAAGGGGACGGCCCUAAUGUUGUGUUGGCAAAGCCAACUUCUUGGGUUGCGGGCGGAGAAGAGCAGACGUGGGGACUCGGGUCGGGGCGCAGCGUAACUAAGAGAGCCAUUCCAUUUAGGGCGAGACAGAAUGGGCGGGCACGAGCGGUCUGGUGUCCGAGCCGAUUGGUCAGACGAAGACUUCCAACGCAUAUAGGUAACUAACCGCCUGUUAUCCCGGAAUGAAAUGGGAUGGAAUAGAAAGAACGCGAAGCGCUAGCGCUAUAGGGUCGGUUUUUUUGGGGGGGAUAAGAUGGCUUCUUCACAAGCUUAUCCCCGCCCCGACCGGCAGCUGCGAGGUCUCCCCAUCUCUCCUAAACUUCCCCCGGUCUUCGGCCCGAGCUGUAUGAGGCAGAAACUCGUCCCACGUACGGUUCGGAGGCCGAGCCCCACCCCAGCAGUAAUGGUGCGGCUUAGGUCAACUAAGACAAAGAAGAUACAGUUCACUCAACGAUUGCCUUUGGGUUCCGAACUCCAUAUGGGGAAGGAGCGUUGUUGUUUGCGAGGUAUCGAUCAUUUACAUGGACCCACUUCUCAUUCUAUUUGUGGGAAUUUUAUGAUCUAUAAACGGUCCCUAACGACCGAUCGGCUCAUGUUUGAGCAUGAUGAAUCACUUCGUGCCGACCUGUUGCCAAUAAAAAACUUUCCGGCCUCAUAUGAGAAUGGAAAACUAAAGCAUUUUCUGCAUCGGUGGAUGAAGAAUCGCAUAAAAAAGAAUUUCUGGUUUACCAUGUUCCCAGAAAAAAGAUACUUUCGAGAAACGACGAGCACGACUGAAGUGGCAAUACAUACAAAUCCACUUACGGAUCUAUAUGCUCCGAUUGGAACUGGAAAUUCCAGAACAAGCGGCUGGUAUACCACCAUAAUGAAACUGCCUUUUAUUUUUUUUAUUCGGAUAGGAUUUAUGAUGGCUUCGUCGGGAGGCUCGCGUAGUUUGUUACGUCAGCUCCAAAAGGAUAAGUUGCGUUGGAAUCGAGAAAGUUCCGUGGAGUUCAUAAUUGCAAUAAAUGCAAGGAGUCAAAGUAGUGGCUGCGACGCGUCGAGGCACUUCUUCGACGGUCCCCGUCCGCCCGGCCUGCCGGCCCGCUCUGAAGAAUUCAUGGGCCGGCAGGCGGGCGAGACAGAAUGGGCGGGCACUACUAACCAAGCCAAGCCUAGUUCUCGCCGAUAGGCGCUGGUAGCUUGCUUCCAAGCCUUGCCUUAUAUAAUAGUUGUGGCCAUGGCCCGAAGGAGCCUUAAGCACUUGUACAAUGCUCAAGUCAAGGCUCUGGGCAACGAGUAGGAUGGAGCCUUUACUUUCUAUUAUAUUUGUAAAGCGUGCCAUAUAUCUUGAGGGAAGGGAAAAAGGGGUCUCUUUCCUCGCCCGAUGGUAGAGGUCGAUCCCUAUCACCUUCGGUUAUCACCUUCGGUGCCUCCUUGUGGUCCUUCUCUUUAGCUUUUCCUCGGCCUUUAGAGCUAGUUGAUAGGCCACUUAUCACAUCCGAUGCAUCGAUAUUUCAUCUCGGAUUUCGAACCUAAAGCCCUAUCAAGCAAGGGAUUCUUCGUCGGAUUCGUUCAAGCCAUUGCGAAUAGACAAUUGGUAGAACUCCGCAACUUGUUAGGAGUAGGGGCUUUCUUGUACGCUUCUCUCCCCCCUAUCCUUUAAAGCGAAGUGGAACCUUUGGAACAAGCUUUGGGUCUAAUCGGAGGGUAGAAAUUUCUCCCGCAACCUCGAUCGCAUCUUGUCCCAUGUACUUCCCUUUGCCUUUCCGCUCACGCCUUGCUUGGACUUGAUCCCACCAAAUUGAGGCAUGACCCGUGCUCAGGAAUUUCACCUUCGCACACCUCGGAUAGUUCUUUGAUCAUGUGAUCGGAUCUAGUCGAUCGGAUUUGAAUCGGAGGUCUUGAACUCGAGUUUGUGAGAGACUCUUGCUGCCACCCUAGCUCUUUCAUUUUAGCCCUUUUAUUGCCCUAAAAAGAAGACCCGGCUUCUUCUUCUUUCUUUUACGAAUCCGGCAAGCGAAAAUCCUUUCUUCUCUUGAGUGAUUGCUUGAGUUAAGCCUUCUUGACUAGUUUUGAGUCCCGAUUUUCAGUCCUUGGAUGAUCUUGCGGGUCUUAGUACAAUGGAUUCAUAAGGCUUUUCCCGUUUCCGAAAGAAGCAUCUGGAAAUGACUUGUCAUGGGCUUAUGCGAUGAAGAAUGAUUUGCUCGGGAAAAAAUCUUGUGCUUAUGUGGAUGAGUCGCUUCAAUUUCCCAAGACUAGAGAAGGGGAUUUUCCUACAAAAGAUGAAAAGUGCUUAGCUUCAAAUGGGAUGACUUGUGUACUUCCUUUGAGCCCCAUAUACACCAUCACCUCUUUUGCGACUGCUAAAUCAAUUUGGGAUUUUAUAAGUAAUCUUGAUUCUCAGGAUGAUUCUAAACCUUUUUCUCAGUUGCAACAUGAAGAACAUGCCUUAGCUUAUAGGUAAAAUAAAGAAAGAAGUGUGCUAUACUAUUUAUUACCGAAGGCUUAGGCUUCUAUGGGACCAGCUGAACAUGAGGGACCCCUUUCAAAGAUAGGGGCACCGAUUCUAAAGGCUCUUGUCGGGAAUAAUUUGAUAUAACAUAGAAUAGCCGUAGAAAGGGGCUCUCUAAGUUUUUGAUGGGCUUGAGGCCUGAGUUCGAGAAUGUUAGAUCCUCAAUUCAACAUCGAGUUCCUCCACCAGACAUUGAGAGAGCAGUUGCUGAUGUGAGAUCCGAGGGGACUCGACUUGCUCCCCUUUACUAGGUUGGGUGCUGGGGGUCGAUCUUAUAUUACUCAGGGUGCUUCAGAUCAGGUUCUUGCAGCUGAACAUGCUUCGGGGCAUCGACCCUAUGGUCAGAAUCUUCAAUCUGGAAGCUCUGCUGGUGCAUCAGGCCAACGAGACAUGUCCAAGAUCAUAUGCCACUAUUGCAAGAAGCCGGGUCACAUGAUUGCAGACUCUCGCAAGCGGCAGAAUGCAAACUCUCGUCGACAGUCAGACACAGCUCAUCUUGCUGCUCCCCCAGAGACGCCUACUGAAUCGGAGACUUACCAAUCCCCUUACUCCAUAGGGCCUCUGCAGCAUUACUUCUAUGAUCUUAGGAGCACUCCCACGCCCGACACAGAUAGUUUUACCCCACGACAGCGGAAGCAGAUUCAUAGGUUGAAUCCGUCUUGUCAUAUCUCUUCCUCUUCUGCUACAGGUAUUUGCUCCCCCUUACGCUUACAACAUAGGGGGCUGCUCUUCGGGUGCAUCGAAGAAUAUGACUGGUGAUUCUUCACUUCUUUCUUCUCUUCGGUCUCCCGUGAUCUACGACCACCCUUAUUGUUUAAACUGCAAACUCCGAACAAUUCCCUCUAGCUAGUCUUGGUACUCUCUAUCGUUAUCAUCGAAUAUGUUCUGCCUUUUUGCAUCUUCUCUUCCUUGAAGGUUAUAGCAGAAACGGAAGACAUUGAUCUAGUUAUCUUUCUGUCAGAUAGAUAAGCAAGGUUUUUUUUUCUUAAGAGAAGAAGCCAUUUCUAGUGGAAGAGGCUGGGACCUAGCCUUCUUGCUCUUAUCUUCCUCCUAGUAAGGAAAGGCAUAGUUUUAGAGUCAUUGCAUCCUCUAUGAGCUGGAUGUAGCUACUUUAUAUCCGGACAGAUAAUAACUAAUUAGAGGGUAGCCGUCUUCUUUCUCUUUGUAGUUGGGAUAGCGGGCAGGGUUAGAGGAAGCAAGGACAGAUAGGCUAGGAUUAGAUGUGGCUUCUAGACGAGGAGGAUAGAGGAGCGAAAGCAGCUUUAUGACUUCCCCUUUUCCUUCAUGCACUGGGAGAGGAAACAACUAUCUUGGUUGAUAGUUCGAUGGAACUGCGUGACUUUCUGGAUGUUUAACCCUGAGGGAUGUAGCUAACUAAGGCAGUCUGGAUGCUAGCCGGGGAAUACCAUGCCUCUCGGAUAGGCCUUUGAGUUCCUCUAGUUAUCUUCUUGAAUCACUCUAAGCAUAAGACCUUGAAUUGCCUCUUUGUCUUCUCUCUAUGGAUAGAGCAAUAACAUUAAAAGAGGAUGUAGCCCUUUCCUUACUGUACUUGUAGUUGAGUAAGGACUUUAAGCUUCUAGUUUGAACUAGUAUGCGAAAUGUAUGGUUGAUAGGGCUCUUACCUCCUCAAUGUUUAUAAAAGAAUCCUACCUGAAGGAUUGAGUGAACGUAGUUUUCGGUGCAAGCAGCAAGCGGGGCAAGAUCAAGUGUUGCGGUUUGAUGAAUCGAAGGCCUGCUCUUUCGUCACAGCCAUCAAGUUAGCAAGCCUGUUUUCAAGUUUUUUUUUAUUGAAAGUUCGUGCCUUACGCAAUUCAUUUUCCAUCCUAUUCAAUUGAAGUCCCCUAGGUAUGCUCCUUAUUUUUUAGGAUAGCUUGGUUAUCGGGCAAGCCCCUUUUCACGCAAGAUAAUCAUAAAAAAAAAGAAACCUUCCCAUAAUGAUGGUGUAAACAGAACUUGUGUAAAGGUCCCUAUAGUAGUCUCUUGAUUACUGGAUAAAUCCCUUUCCAGCUGUCCCCUUGAUGUAGGCAUUUCAGUAGGCAAAGGAAAUCCAGCAGGCAGGUAAAACGAUCUAAGAAUCUCUCGGAAGUUUGGGUUGCUGUCAGUGCAGGCCAAUCUGAAUCUAAUUCCUUCUCCAUGUCUGCCAAGCCAGGUGAGUUUUUUGGGGUUUUAGUUUUCGUUCCAACUCAAGUUGGGAUUUGAGUUUAAGUUAUCCUUUUCUCUUCAAUUGCUAAUGCCUUUUUCAGAUGAGAGGUGUGGUGUAAUCCAGUGAGGAAGCAAGCCUUACCUCUUAGCCAGCAGGAAAGGGCCUAGCAGUUCUUACAAUACCAGUAGUAAUAGAUAGGAUACCUUACGGAGAUACCUUUCAUACUAAUUAGACUAGUUAGAUUUUCUCAAAAAAGCUUAGGAAAGCUGGUUUAGGAAAGGCAGUUUCACAAGUGUCUAAGUAAGAAAAGAGAAAAGUUAGUCAUCUAAGGCAAGCCUUGGGCGAAAUAAAACCCUUUUAUCUUCGCAUAUUCCCUUUAUAUAGAGUCAGAGUAGUAGAGUAGUAAAUAGACUUUCAAUAGACUAUCCUUUGGCCGCCUCAAGUAAAGUCUCAUAAGUAGUUCCUUAUUCAAUUUCUACUGUAAUCGAGUUCAAGUAGUUGAUAGCGCCAGUCUAAGUAAAAGUAGUUAUCUCUUGUCUAAGAAGUAGUAAACUAUGCGUAAGCAGUAUUUUACUGUGGAUAAGGAAUAGUUCUUGCCUAUCUCUCAGGAGUAUUUGCCUAUUCAUAAGUAGUCAUUGACGAUCCAUAACCUUUAUCAGUAUUUCACCUCUUGGGCAAGCCAGAAUCAGGAAUUCUGAAAAGCUAGUAUCUUUUUACCUCACCCCUUUUUUUUUCCUUUAGCUCGAGAGAGAGGAAAGCCUUUACAAAAGAAAAGUUUAUUUUUAUUUUUAUUUAAGGCAGUAAAGCAUUAUUAUUAUUUAAAAUGGCAAGCGGGUUUUAAGUGAAAUCCCUGUGGGCCUUUUCCAGAAGUCUAUUGAAUUUCCUCUCCUUCUGUCAUUUUCCUAAGUUAAGCUCCUUGUCAAGCCGGCUAGGUAAAUCAAAAUAAUAGAAUUGCAGUCUUAAAGUAAGCAAGCUCAAUUGCAAUGGAAAAGUCCUAAGCUAAGCGUAUCAAAUUGGAGGCCUUGUUUUUAAGGGUUUCAGUGCAUAGGUAAAGUGAAAGUAAGCCCAUGUAUUUCGAGGGUUAAGCUAAUCUCUUGCCUUAUAGGAAAGCCGCUAUCUUUUCAUAUCCUCAAGUUCCAACAUCGGAAGGAUUUUUGAAGACAAUAUAGUUUUCAAUCAAUCCAUCAGAGAUAGGUUCAGUCCCAUUAGUCCCUGGCCCUUAUGUGCCCUUCACUCUGUCGUCCCUCCUCCUUACUCUAGUGUUGAACCAGUAAAAGAGUCCCAUGAUCAAUAGGAGCAUAUUUUUUCCUUUUGAAGUGAGAUAUUUCCUUAUCAUCAAAGAUUAGAUAUAAAUGUAACCAUCUCCUCAAAGCAAAGGAAGUCAAAAAAGCAAGUUUUCAAACAGGAAUCCUUCUAUCUCAAGCCAUCAGUAAAAGGCAAUCGAUUGGGAUCGCUCUGAUCUUUAUCUUUAUCUAUAAUCUAUGGGAGAAUACUCAUAGUUCUUGGGAUGUUUCGGGGGCUUCCUGUCUUUGUCAACCUCUCCUCUGAGCCUAUUCCCUUUUCUAUUUAUAUAUAUAUUAUAAUCUUACUUAAUGAGUUAAUUAAGAGAAUAGUUAUGUAAUACUCAUACAUACUAGGAAAAUAAAAGGUUUGAGAUUUUAAGUCUUUCUUAGGAGUUCCUUCUCUCUGCGAGCGAGUUCGAGUGCUAGUUCCAGCAUAUCCUAGAAGCAAUUAAAAUAUUGAAAGUGAAAAAAAAAGAAUACUACAAGUAAUACGUGGUAGGGCUAACAUAUAGGAUUCCCUUAGAGAAGAUGCUUUCUUCCUUACUAUCAUAUGCUCUCUCUCAGGUCAAUCCAGCUAGCGGGUAAAAAAUGGAAUUUUUCUUAAAAAAAAAGAGUCAGCCAAAAAAAGAGUUGUGCCUGCUCGGAGAGAUCUAGUUUCAGUUUCAGUUGCUAUCCAUCCUGUUGAAGUAGCUUUCGAUCAGCCAUAGCCAAUAGGGGGGGUGAAUCCAGUCCCGUAGCUUUUGGCGAGUUUUUCAGUCUUAGUUCCCAUCCAUGUCGGUGAAGAAUGCUAAGCCCAUGGUAGCAGUAGCUCCUCCAGUGUCAACAGGGGAGGGCGCUAUAGAUAAGAGAUCUUUUUAUUUCCCUGGUAUAGUAAUAUAAUGGAAUAGUAAAUAGAAUAGGCAAUAGUCAAUAGAUUUGCAAGUAGUUUCUAUUCAAAUAGAAUACUAUAAAUACAAUCUUGCAUAUUCAUUUUAUUACUGAAAGCUUUAUGUGUUAAGCACAAGGCCUAGGACUGAGGACGCAAGGCAGGGGAUAACUACGUUUUACAAAAGGAAAAAUAAACCCGAGAUUGGAAUUGUGAUCAAGGUGACAAGCUAUUCCCUUGAGCCUAUCAAAAAUUGUAUAAAAAUAGCAGCCUAUCCAAUUUCUGUGGGAAUGACUUUCCAGCCAGCAUUCUCCUUGUCCCGUGGGAAAAAGCUUAGAAAAGCGGAUUCACAGGCUAGCCAAUAUAAGAAACUCUUUCUUUUUUUCGAGAUCCAGCCGGGAUGAGUAGGAGUUUCAGCCAGUAAAAGUCAAUCUCCUUGCGAGCUAGUUCCAAUUGUAGUUCUUUUCCUUGAAAGCCUUGGAAGUAAGUAGUCUAUUAGGGAAGUGGGGAUUUUAUUAGUCAAUCCAGUAUCUUUACCUCUGUCUAGUGUCCAUCCCUCCCUCUGAAAGAGAGUAUAAAAACCUCUUUCUUUCCUCCAUCUAAGGCCAGUCAUUUUCCUUCUCUGCGGUUGCUUAGGGUGAGUGCUAAUUCCUUCCAAUUGCAGUCCUUCGAGGAUUGCUUCCAGGUCUGGUAUAUGAAAGCAAAGAAAAAUUCCUUAGGAGACAGGUAUCGAUGCUUGCCAGCAGGAGAAAGAUCACUAGGUUCAGUCUCUGCAAUAGGGUUCCCUAGGUACAGUUAGUUUUCUUGAAAUCCAGCAGGGAUAGCAGCUUCUUGCCAAGAUAGACUGCUAACUCGUAUAGCCUAUGGUUCCUCAUAAGAGGUUUGAUCGUGUACUUCACACCAUGAGUAGCAAAAUAUUUCAGUAAGAUAAUGCCAUCGAAUCGUGAGAAGUUGUGGAAGUAUACAGUAUGAAUCGAUGUAUUUUUUCUAACAACAACAGCUAAACGUUCUAUAAAGUCGAACAACAUCUUAUUGCUCCUUUCUUCAAAGGUUUCGAAGACAAUAUCCGGGUAAUCCUCACUGAAAUAUGUCUCAAUAAUAUUGCCCGUCUCUGAAGACAGAUCAUCACCUGGUCUAACCACUAAGAAACCAACAGCGUAGGGAACAUGAGUAGUAUUUUGGAUAACAGUCUCAGUAUCAGCCACAAUGAAUGGCUGCCUUUGACUUAUUUUCGGUUUGAGUGCUGUGAUAUGCUUUGAAUAACGACGCUUACGAUGCCCGAUCGUUCUCGCUUCUCUAGGUAUCACCUCAGCCUUGCAGUCGAUGCAUUCCCAGAUCUUUCUGGCUAUCUCCUCGUCAUCGGAGAUGAUUGGCACCGCACUAUCCUGAAUUUCAUCAAUAUAAUAGAUUCGAAUAAAAACGCUAUAUAAAUCAGCACCCUCGUAUUCCUCUGCUUUCAUCCUGACAAGUUGUUCAAUCAAAGCAUAGACUGGCAAAUCUUUCCCAUUCUCCCUAAAAGGGAUAGCAGGACCGAGUGUAAAAGGGAUAGCAGGACCAAGAGGAACAUCACUUUUUUUUGUAGUUGUAUUCAUGACAUAACUCAAUGUUAAUUUACCAUAAUCACACUUUAUAGUGUAAGCGUACUUGAUUAGUAGUCGCAUAAAAGCUAAUACUAUAUUAUCACAGUCAUCACAUUUUAUGGGAGGAUCGAAAUCAAUUCUAGCUAUUCUCAAUCCAGGGUAGGGAUCCAUGUAAUAUUCACACUUGAUUGAACUCUGUAAGUAGCUCCAGAAUAUAGAAAAUAGUUCUUUUGUCAAAAUAUUAUAAGUAUUUAUCAUUUUAUAAGUGUAAACAAUAUUUAUAUUUGCAGUUAUCCCAAUUUAACAUGUUACCAAUGAAUGCUACCCUUUUAUUUUCCAAAUCAACCGUUUUUGGAUUGUUAUCGUAUAAAUCCAUUAUAUAUUUUUCGUAAGCUAUACAUACACUAUAUAUCUUUUUAGCCCAAAUUAACUUCUUACUUUUAUUUAAAUUCUUUGGUAUAAUAGAUUCUAAUGAAUUUAACAGAAUAUGAUUGGGAAUCGGGGAUUCAAGGGUAUAUGAAUUCCUAUCAAUUGCCAGAUUAAGAUCAAUAAAUUGGUUUAUCCAUAAUAAUGGGCUACCCAUAUUAUAUAAUACAAGUACAUAAUAACGUGAAAUGUACGAAGCGUAAGGAGCUGUAGUAAUGAAAUUAUCGUGAACAGUGUAGACAGGUGCAUUCUCAGAGACCAUAUAUUUUAUCAUGUGCAUGGCAAUAAAUGCAUCUUUCUGAUGAAUAAAAUUGGCAAAGGUAGACAUAUGAGUCUUCCUUCGAUCCCGAUCACCCGAGGGAAUUCGUAGAGUCACUUGACGCCUUUUCCUGUGGAUACGAUCAUAUACCCAUAUAUUUACUGUUUUUGAUUUCAUAUAGUCCUGUACAGUUGUGAAUAGAGAUACACUAUAUAAGACGGGUCGAUCCAUAGCUGAUACUAACCAACUGAUAUUGCGGAUCAAAUCCAUUAGAUUUACUAUACCCGGAUAGUAUGUUUUAUAGAAGAUAUAUAUUUUUUUAGCUAAUUGCAUGCAUUCCCCUUUAUCUAAUAAAGAAUCAAAAUGUUGAUUAAAAUCAUUAGCAAUGCUGAUUACAGUCUUACCAUAUAUCAUCGGCAUAAAGAGUACUUUAACUAAUUUUCGAGUGAGACGAGGACAAACUAUGUCAGCUAGAUUAUUUGUCAAUUCCUUACGAAAGUAUACCUUAAGCUCUUCUAGAAGGAUGGUGUAAAUAUCUUUGAUCUUUUUAUUAUCACUAAAAUCGUAUUCAGGCGAAUAAUGAUAAUCAAUAUAGGGAAUGAGAUUCGUUUUUAAAGCUAAAUCAUUAUCUAACAAGAAAUAGCUCAUAAUCUGAUAAGCACUUGCAGAGGCAUCUUGUGUAAUAGGAAUUUGAAUUAGAUUACUCUUAUUAUUGCUUUCGAUACAUAGAACCUUACUUAUGAACUGAUAGGGAUCAGCCGCUGAUAAUGCUAACUCGAUGAUACUUUCAGCCGAUGAUGCUUUCAUAGAUACAUGAUCGAGAUACCAUUGAUAAGAAUCUUUAUAAGAUUCGAACUUCUUAUAAUGAAAAGCUGCGGCUGCUGAGGCUAUAAACAUUAUUUCUUUAUCAUCUAUAUUAUGAUUAAUAAGCUCUCCAGAUGGGUUGUUACAAGUAAAAAGUACUAGACUUCUAGCCAAAUCACGUUCGUGGAAAUGCAAUACACCAGCGCGGUAGAUCCUACCACGGAAGUCAACGAAGGCAGGCAGAUAAAUUUUAUAACCCUCGUAAGCUGAUGCUAUAUUGAUUACGAAGGUUUCAUAACGAGCACGUUGGAUACGCUCCAAGAACACCUUAAGCAAAUCCUGAUAAUUACAAACUUGCGUCAAAUCAUUAUUCGAUAAGUAAGAAUUCCUCAAUAGCUCGACGGCCCUGUUGAUAUUCAAUGAUGCUAGAAAUCUAGGCAUUAAUAGACCGUAUUUAACUAAUAGUUCGUUAUUAUUCAUAAUGAAGCUCAAUACAUCCUUAUGUAUCUCAAAAGACUGCGCCUGUAACUUGUUCAUGGUUAAGCACAAAUCGUCGUAUUUACCUUCAUCAAACUUAAUAUGAAAAUGGCUCAAGUCACGGGUAGUCAUUACGCGAUAGCGUUUUUGUUGAUAAAAAUCCCCUGAUGGUAUGCUUAAGUAACCGCCACGCAUAUCGGAUAAAGAUGAAGGUAUUAUAUCAUCUCUUAUGGGUUUCCAAUCCAAAGGCUUACAUAUCAUUGGUAGAUUGAGUUUGAUCGGAAGGAGACUAAUAUCGAAAUUACAUAUAGCGUAUAAUUGUCUUGGUAUAUAAUACUUCCCAUUCUUCAUCGUAACAGAAUACUGCUCAUGAAAGCUCAAUUCAUUUGAAAGAGAAAUCCACUUUCUAUUCACUAAGAAUUCAACCAAAAACGCACCGAACGCAUAAUUAUUUUGCAUUUUAUCGUUAGCCAUCUCAUUCUCUUCAGCCUUCACAUUGCUAGAAGUAUCGUCUGAAUUUAUUUCAUGUUUCGUAGAAGGUCUUUCUUCUGAUGUAUAUCCUUUCAACAAUUUAGCUUGGCUUCUGACAUACGUAUCCAAAUGUUCUAUCAGAGUUGAUACGCGAACAGCUGGAAGUUCCUGAAUACAGUUGAAGAGAACACCAAAUACAUAAAUAAUAAUGGCCUCCAAAGUAUACUGAUCAAAGUAUUCAAGAGUUAAUAAAUCAUUUUUAGUAAGCUUACAUUUCUUAAGAUAUUCCUUUGCUGUAAGUUCAUCUUUAGAUAUUAUUAUCUUAAUUAAAUCAGGUGUAAGCUGAUAUAUGUUUUUAAUAUCGUCAUAUUUAAAAGUAGCAUCCUCAAUCGAUGUUUGAAUACUGAUUAAUUCUUCUUCUGUAAAUGAAUCCUUAUCUUUUUUAGAAUUAUUCAAUAAAUCAAUCACAUACUUAUGAUAUUGAGAAACAUUAGAUUCAGAUCUGGAAUUAGUAUUACUAUCAUCCAACAGUUGACUAUAAAAAGAUUCCCAGAACUUCUCAAGAAUAGUAUCCUUCGUUGAAUAACAUCUAUGACCGUACACAGAAGGACAAAUAUGAUUUACAAUCGAUACCACAACAGAAGGAUAAAUAUGAUUAACAAUGGAUACCUGAGAAGGACAAAUAUGAUUAACAAUCGCUACCUUCGUAUACCUAGAUUGGUAUUUCCUGUUAAAUAACAGACUUUUCAUGUGUGAACGCCGUGGUACAAGACCUGGGCCAAGAAGUGCUUGGGGAUGAGAUUUCCAGCUGAUCUACGACCACCCUCAAGCGUUCAUUGACCAGAAUGUAGAGCCUGUUGGGCAUGAACCAACGGUGGUUGAAGAAAGAGAUAACCCAGAGAGAGGGUUUUUAUUCCACUGCCCACUGCAGAUCAAGUGGCUGAUCAGAGCUCAGAGACUAGAAAUGCUGAACACAUGGAAAGUACCUCUCACCCCUAUUCUCCCCAAGAAAGGGAGAAAAGACCAAUUUAGUCUCCAAAGCCGGUGAGCUUCUAAGCUUUAUCUGAACACUUUUUCCUUUUUUGUUGCUCCUUUUGAUCGCUGUUGUUGAAUCAGGUUGCUGAAGAUGUCCCCUCAUCCUCUUCUGAGGCCAUUAUCCCUCAAGCUAGUGAGCUCUGACGUCGACCCUUCAAUCCUCAUCAACUGCAAAGAGUCACUGCUGGCCUCCCUGAACUUAACCAAACUGAGAAUGACCGCCCUCUUCACGGAGCAAGAGAAUCAUGAAAACCUUCAGGGAAUGCCCUCGAUGGCCCAACUGAAAGAAGCCAUCUUCGGGGUUGAUCCAGUUGAAGUUGAUGUUGUACGAGGCGAUCCCCAGGUAGACCUUGAGAAGGUUAUUGAACACGAUCUGCUCGACUCCCCCUCCAGAGACAACUCCUUUUCCCCCAGCCUGAUUCCAAAUGAAGAAGAAGCCAGGCUCUCUCUUGAAAUCUCUGAAAGCCAGCCUCCCAUGGAGGUUGAGGAUCAAGCUAGCCACUGAUCUACGACCAGCCUGCCUCUCAUUCCAGUCCCGCUGAUACUGAGGAGCUUCAUUUUGACGAAGAAGAUCACUCCCUCAACAACCUCCCAGUAAUCAAGGUGAUUUUCUCAUAUACGCCCUUUCUCUCCUCUGUUUCAUUCCUCCAUUUUCUGAAUCAUGUGUUGUCUCUUUCUAGGAGGAGGGCGUCACUGGAGCUACCCCUCUGCAAGUCAUUCCCUUGAGCAGCUCGUCUUAUAAAAAAGAUGAUUAUCCGCCUGCCGCUGUCUUUGCCAAUGCAAGGCAACUUCUUGCGGCCGCUCCGUCUUUUCCAAGUAAUAUGGAUGCAUCUCAUGAGAAGAUUAACGCAGCACAUAAGACGGUGAGCCGCCUCAUAGAGCUUGACUUAAGAAGCCUGCUGGCUGAGGAGGGACUUAGGGAAUGAAUUGCCAAUUUGGAUUAUCUGCGCUCUGUGGACUUCUUCCCUUCCCACGUCAACGGUCCAGUGGAAGAGCCGCUGCUGGGCUUAUCUCCUUAUGUUGAUACACUCGGCCUUCAACUUCAGUAAGAAAUACCUCCACUAGCUUUCUAGAGGCGUUCAGUGAGAACGAAAGGAUUAUUGAAGAAGGACCUCAAGCUUAUGAAGUCCUUAGUGCAGAGAUGAAGAAAUUGGAUCAAGAAAUGGAAGAUCUAGAGAGCAAGUUGCUAGCUGCCAAGGCUAAGAAGAUUAGUCUAGCUAAAGAAAUCCGAAACUUAUCUCAGAGGACUAAAGAGGCAACUGCAGCUUAUGAAUAUGCGCUUCCCCAAUUUCAAUCACAGAAGCAAGACAAAAGAUUGGCCGAACAGGGCGGCGGAAAGAAUGUGGGAGCGAGCUCGUAAUGUACUUAGAGAGAAUCAAUAAAAGAAAAACUGUAAAAGAAAGGGUUGUAAUUCAAAUGGUUGAAUAAUAACAAUAGAGAUUUUCAACCUUUCUAACUGUACUUAUUCCAUUGCUACAUCCCACAGACAAGAAGAAAGGAAAGCUAACAUCUAAUACAUUCUUUUCUUGCCUAGCUUGUUAUAACCUAAAGUAGCUACAUCCAGCUCUAUGAAUCAAACUCUUCCUUAUACCACUCGAAUAGAGACAGGAAGGAAUAAACAAUCGGAAGCAUUAGAAGAAAGGAUGCAUCCCUCAUAGCACAGCCCUAGAGGCAAUCAAAAACUAGAAGCCAUGAGUCCUUACUAAACUAACAGAACAUUAAGGAAAGGAAUUCAAACCUAAAAGAGAGACUUUAUAUCAACUCACAGAACCGAUCGCAAGUCACUCACUCAGUGCAUUAUUGAUCGCCAAGAAGAUUCUAUAGACCGCGCUGCUUGGAUAGAAAGAAGAGUCACCGGGUUGGGUUGAUGUUGAUUGGUAUUGGUCUUGUCCCGCAACUAGAAGAAGUCCGGGGGGGCUUUCAUUUGCCCGGAAUUUCAGUUAAUAAAUAGUUGAAUAGCUUGGUUCUCAUUCUUCAAUGUGGCGUCGCGUUUCAGAUCGGAGAGGAUAUUUGAGCAUCCCCCCCUAAGCUGAGGAUGCUUGGCUUGGCUCGCAGGACCGAUUUGACUGAAGCUUCCGAGAGCCUCCCUACAGAUCUAUUGCAUGCAACUUUCCUUCCUCCAGCAGUCAUUCCGAAGAAUAAGGCCACCUUUCAAUGCAAUUGGCUCAGGCCAUGAAUGGGACGGAGGAACGUCAGUGAUCAGCGCCGGCCGAGCGGAAAAGACCCUCGGUUGCUGUUGCCAAUAAGACCUUGCUGCCCCGCCAAUGAGCACUUGCUUCCCUUCACGCUGCUUAGUAAGACCGCUUCGCUCCCUCGAACUCAAAACCCAUUCCUCAUCUGAACUGACAGACCGACAAGCGGAGGAAAAGAAAAGCACUGUUGACUUCCUGUUCCGCCUGAAACAAGAACUCCACUCCCCGAUUCACCGAACCGACAGGAAACUCCCUUGACUUCUUGAAACAGGAACUCGAACUCAUUGACCUAAGACUGUUCAUGGAACUCGUUCUGCUUCAUCGACGAAAGUAUGCUAGGGCUUGUUGCUUAGUCACGAGAGCUCUGCUGCCCAUGCCCGCCAAGCAAGCAUUCCACUCUUGACUCCGGAAAACUCUUUCUUUGGAAAGCUAAAAUCUUCCUUGAGUCUGAUUUGGAGGCUGUGCAUAACUCCUGUGUUGCGGCCUCUACCACGGCCACCGCGAGCCAUGUUUGCAUUUGAUGAGCCGCAGCAACCGGGUCAUGUCUGUGCUGUGACCUUAUUCACCGUGUCUGAGACACCUGCAGUUCUCAGCUUCUUUCUAAAGUGCUUCAGUUCGACGUGAUCUAUCACAGACGGUUUUCAAUCAGACUCUUCCCCUACUUUCCACGCAUCAUGAGCAGAUUCACCUUUCUCCCUCUGCAACUCCCAUACAAAGAACAGCAAAAUGGUUCGGGGAUGACGGUCAACCGUUUGCAAAUCACAAACAACGUCGAUCUUCGUCUUAAUUAUGGAAGUCCCUGUCCUUGUCUGCUAGACACGGGAGCUUACUGUAGCCAUUGCUUGCUUCUCAUGCUUCUGGUAGUGCACCCUACCUCUAGUGCUUUCUCCACUGCCUCCCCCAAACCCCUUCUUCCUUAUGAAGUUUUAGAUUCCACUUGUGCUUCUUUUGGUCAGUUGGAUGCUAUAGGAGAUUUUGCAGGUUCCCUUCCGCUUCUAUGCUGAAUCAAUGGAUGUUAGAUCAUUAGGAGCCUAAUAAAAAGGGAUGUUGAAUGAAACAAACGAAUACUAUUUCAAUUGAAAACAAACCCCCGAGCAAAUUUAGCCCUUGAGAAGAGAAGAUCCCGUGGAAUGUCUUUGGUACUUCCUUGUUACAGAAGUGGUCUACUGAUUUCGACCCGGCUCAGCGUAGCCUCUUGCCGGUGUGGGUUGAGUUUCCCUCUCUCCCUUUGGUGUUUUUUCCGCACAUAGAAAAGAUUGCUGCUAUGUCGGGCAGAGUGUUGUGUUCGGAAAUCCCUAAUGGCUUCGUGGCCCGACCCACACGCUGUGUUGAACUUUCUUCGAGUCAGGACCUCCCGGACUUCAUAGAGCUCAAAGCUAAGGGGGCAGUUAUUUCAGCAGUGCGUUUCAUAUCUAACCCUACCUAACUCUUGUUAUUAUUUCCAUGACGAGAAUCAUAGGCGCCAGUUCUGCCUAUGAACUUGGCCAAAAGGGCCGCGGCUGCUAAGGCGGCACGGGAAGCCUCUAUCUCGACUCACUCUGAGGUUCCCACUAAUCUAAAGAGUGAUGAGGCGCGCCCUACUGAAGGGUUUUUGGAAAUCGGUUCGCAGUAAGAAGAACUUGACCUCUAGCGCUCAGAAGAGUCCAGUUGAUAAAGCGGGGCCUGCUGCUGCUGCCAUGGCAAGAAAGCGUAUGGGAAAGAAAGGACUGGACUGACAGGAGAGGGAGAUUAAGAAGGUAAGGCUUGCUGGCAAGGCUGGGAAGUCGCUGGCAGCUUUUCAGCCUACGCUAGCCUAUUGCCUUUUUCAGCCUGCUUUCUCUUUCUUCCCUUGCCUUUUUCAGCUGGAUAUAUAUCCAUCUUUCCCGCCAGUUUGCGACUCUCCAUGCAUAUGGUGCGCUCGUACAAAUCGGGAAAGGUCUUGCAAUUACCCAAUGCGAUUGCACCUUUUGCGGGACCUCUGAUGUUGAAGAGGACUAUAUGUACAGCAUCACCUUCAGGUAUUGCAAAGGUCGCUCUUGAUGCAAGAUUCCUCCCUCCAUAAAAAAAAUAUGAGUCAACAGUACUCGCUUUGAUCUCCGUAAAUGCCUCUGAGAAAGGUUAAUCAACUCGAUCAAGCAUGGUGCUUGGUGCAACUACUUUAUGAUGAAUAAGUCCACCACAUCCGCAAACGUUCGGAUUGCAUGAAUGGGGAGAGAUAAGAACCAUCGUGCGGCGCCUCCUUCCAAGGACUUCUGAAAAAGGUAGAUCAACAUCCCCUCCUUAUUUUCGUACCCUCGACAAUCAUUGCAGAAAGUUGCUAGGUGAUGCACCUAAAAAGAUCACCAACUCCGUUAUACUUGCUGAACUUAGGUACUAAGAAUCCAAAUGGAAGGACCGUUUUCAUUCUGGAUUUCGACAAAAAUCCCUAAAUCCGAGGCGAUGCGGCUGUGAAACAUGGCGUGCUAUAAAGUAAAGUAUCCAAUAAAGCUCUCCGCUCCUCGAAAGCUUAUUGAUUAGGGCGAGUGGCUUCCGCUCCUCAUCGUCCACUACCGGUUUCCGAAGUGAAGUCAUAGUGCGUGCUGAUACUUUCUUCCAUAGGGUUCCAAACCUUACUAUACAAGGGGCUUGAAAGCCGAGGAGCGGAAAUCGCCCGCCGCAAUAAGCGGGAGAGGAGCGUAGAAGAGCGGUCCUCCUUAUCUUAUCUAGCAAAAGACGUCCAUAGAAAAGAAAAUAAGGCUCGGCAAAGACGACAGAAACUAGGGAUUCUUUUCAUCCAUGCUUUCAGCAUGCUUUUAUAGUGCGUGCUUCCCUCUCCCUUACGCUUACAACAUAGGGGGCUGCUUUAGGAUAUAGCGGAGAGUUGGGGGGCGCUCGCCGUCUUCUUGAUCAUCAAUGAUCUAUUUAGUCAUUAGACUCAAAUCGACAUAGUGGAUUUGAUGACUGCCCCCUCUUUGACUGCAUUCUCCAUCUGUUGGAUUAGGUCCAAUUUUGAUUCUUCGAUUCUCGCUCCUACUGGGCGGAAUACUCAAAAGAGCUUCCAUUAUAUCCGGCGAACUCCCCCUAUUUUGGGCUAUCUCCCGGCCAAUUAGUCAAUUAUGACAAGUCUUCUCUUUCUUUCUUUCUCAGCAAACUUACCGAACAGGCUAAAAAGAGCUCUAGGAAGGUCUCUAAAGGUUCCUCAUAUGGUCAGCUCAGAAAAGUCUCUAGGAGCUCCACUGAUCAAAACCAGAGUUAACAAAGAGACCUUUGCUUCUAUAGUGGAGUGAAUGAAGGUCAAAUUGCAAGGAUGGAAAGGUAAACUUCUUUCCCAAGCAGGUAAAAUGACUCUAAUCAAGUCUGUUACAGCAGCCAUUCAACAAGACCUAAUGUCCUGCUUCAGACUUCCAAAACGCAUUCUUUAUGAUGUAGACAAAGUGCAGAAGGAUUUUCUAUGAUCUAAUCCUGAAGAUAGCAAGAAAAUGAAUUUGGUGGGAUGGCAUCCCUAUUUAUUUGCUAUAAUGCUGCGAAAAAUGAAGGAGGACUAGGUCUAAGAGCGGCAUAGGACAUCAAUGAAGGAUUCAUGAUGAAGCUUGGAUAGAAGAUACUUCAUUUUAAAGAGAAUAGUUGGGUGAAAGUUGUUACCCAGAAGUCUUUUAAUAAAAAAGAGUUCUUUGAGGUGGAAAUAUCCUCAAGAGCCCUGGAAGGAUGAAAAGAAAGCACCCCCUUACUCGAGUCAAGAAAGCGUGAUGGCACGACUAAGUGGGUCAGGAUCAAGCAUUAAGGUUUGGCUGGAAAAAUGGGUCCUUGAUCAACUUCUCAUAAACGUUGUUCAUGGGGGUAGAUCAAUGGGCAUCGAUUUGCAAUAAAGGGUGGACAAGACCUUACAACUAAAUUGGAGUCAGAAAGAAAGAAAGAUAAUUAUUCUCUGAAGACAUAGCUAGGAAAAUUCAGGCUACACCUUUUCCCUAUCUAACCGGGGGGAUAGCACUUGGUGGGGACCGGCAGCCAAUGGAAAAUUCUCACUCAAAGCAGCUACAAGGAUAGUGCACAGCUCCCGUCAGAUACAACAAAACCAGAGUCCAGGUAAUGAGAAAAAAGCGUGGAAACUCAAAUUCCCAGAAUCCAUUCUGGUAUUUAUCUAAACCCUGCUACAAAACAAAAUAGAACUCCGACUAAGGAAUGUUUGCAAAAGAGAGGGCUUAAAAGCGCCUUAUGCUCAAUUUGUAACAGUUAGAUUGAAUCGCAAAACCAGCUAUUUAUCAGAUGUCCAUUAGCAAAGACACUUGGUCUUUGGUUACGGAAGCCAAGGAAAGGAUUGGCUUAAUGACAGAUCCAUUUCAGAUCAUGAGUUGAUUGUUAACUGGAUUGACAACCCGUCUUUUUCCAUUAUUUACCCCUUUCUUUUCUGGUUUAUUUUGAUGGCAAGAAAGAAUCUUGUCUUCAAUAGAACACCAAACUAUCGGCAAUUUUUGCCUCAGCUUGCAAACUCCUUUGAUUGGGCAAGUCAAGUUGUUUGUUCAAGCUUCGGCUUACAAAUCCUCUCUUUCUUGGACAGGUCAGUACAAUUGGAGAUCGACUAGACGAGGCAGAACAUUGUUCAUAGGUUGGUUAUAAGCCCGGAGAUCGAAUCUGAUUCUUCCCCUUUGAGAGGGAUUCUCGUGCCAACCAUAGGAAGAAGAACUCGGUUACUCAUCUUGGAUCGGAUUGGAUCAAUAGCUUUGUGCUGAUCUACGAACGACCCUUCUAUUUUCUUUCUACUUCUUCAAGUCUCCAUCAUCCCGAUCUCUCUUUCCGGGUUUGCCUGUCCAAAGAAAACAGAACCUCUUCUAGUUCAAGGUCGGAAUCCUCAAACCAAUCAAAAUAUUCUUUCUA